rnacentral:lncRNA from 1 species
GCACCACCACCUCAAGUCUUACCUAAUUUUCUAACAAUGGCCAAAAUUUCAAAGUUUUUCCUUCUACUCCUUUUCCUAGUUGCAACACAGGUUUACGCCCUAGGAAGAAUUGUGGGAGGCAGAGGUAAAGAAUGUGAAAACUAAUAAGUGCAAGAUCUGAGCAAUUACUACGUGGACCAUACAAUAGUAAGCAGAAGCACAGUGCAAAUGACUGAAAACUUCUCACGUUUUCACAGGUGGUGGUGGCGGAAAAACAGGUGGUUUUCGGGAUCAAGAAUUAUCUCAAGAU